rnacentral:rRNA from 1 species
AUUGAACGCUGGCGGCAGGUAUAACACAAGCAAGUCGAACGAGUGGAGGACGUGUGAGUAAUGUCUGGGAAACUGCCUGAUGGAGGGGGAUAACUUCUGGAAACGGUAGAUAAUACCGCAUACCAUCGGAUGUGCCCAGAUGGGAUUAGCUAGUAGGUGGGGUAACGUCUAACUUAGGCGAAGAUCCCUAGCGGGUCUGAGCGGGUGACCAGCAAUACUGGAACUGAGACACGGGCCAAACGCCUACGAGAGGCAGAAGGGAGGAAUAUUGCACAAUGAGAGCAAUCCUGAUGCAGCCAGGCCGAGUGUAUGAAGAAGGCGUUCGGGUUGUGAUGUACUUUCAGCGGGAAGGCGUUACACGCAGAAGAAGCACCGGCUGACUCCGUGCCAGCGGCCGCGGUAAUUC